rfam:Myotis davidii contig75576, whole genome shotgun sequence.
GUGAUUGCUUCGGCAGCACAUAUACUCAAAUUGGAACGACACAGAGAAGAUUAGCAUGGCCCCUGCGCAAGGAUGACACACAAAACAAAACAAAGCAAACAAAAAACCU